rnacentral:lncRNA from 1 species
ACAAUUGUCGAUGAUUAAUCUGCAAAACGCAUUUGAACGUUUCAGAUUAUCACCGCGUUUAAUCGCCACCGUGAGACUUCCCGGCAAACAAUUCAAGAGACUGUUACCUCUCUCAUGGAAGCUCGAUGGAGCUGGAGAUUUCAAUUUUGAUUUCAUCAUCAAUUGCAGAACCGGAAUCGCAUCCGCCGCUAAAACAGCUUGAGAUCUAGCCGUCUCCGUCGGCAUUGUUGUCCACGAUUGUCGCAACGUGUAGAUCGUGUCCAUCGCCGAAUCUCUCGCUUCUUGCUCGCCGGAUUUCAAAGCUCCGAUUAAGUGAGGGAUACAAGCGGUAGCUGCUUCCGACGAACGGAGUUUUGGAAACGUUGUGAGAAUCGUGUUUAGCGUUCUCACUAUUUCUACGUUUAUCGCCGUCGUUGUCCAAAACUCUCUCUCCAUCGCAUCUGCAUUGAAAUCAGUGAGUGUUUGAUUCUCAAUCCGAUCAUAAAUUUUGAAUUCGGAAUUGAAACUUACUUGUUAGAGAUUUGAUGAUUUCACCAGAGACGUAUUCUUGAAGUGUAUGAUUAGAGAAGAGAGAUUUGAUAAUUAGAGCUGCUUGUGUAGAAACUUGUGGAUUACUAGAUCUAAGCAUUUCCUGAACCCAAUAUACUCCACCAGCUUCAGCCAUAGCUUUACGACUUGUUCUACUAUGCAUUGCAAAGUUUUCCAAAGCACGCAUCACAACCAUUUGCAUUUCCUCGCUCGGUUCAUCUUCAAGCAAGCUGAUUAACGCACGACAUGCCACGGGCGAGUCCGUGGCUUUAGCGAGUCCUUCGUGUUGAGAGAUGUCACCUAGAGCCAUUGCUAUGAGAAUUUUUGCGGAUUCUGAUAUUGUGUCUGGGUCUAGUAUGUACUCUGAUAGAGGGGUAAGUACAAACUGACAUAUCUUUGUCUCUCUAACCUUUGGAUUGCGUAGUAUUAAUUCGAGUAAUCUUGCUGAGAGUUCUUCGCAGUGGUGUGAUCUUAGUAGAUCUAGUAAUGCGUCGAGUGCACUGGAUUCUGCCAUUUCUUGAACGCUUGACGAGUCUUGAUUCUCACGGAUGAUCAAUGCGUCGAUGGCUAAGAUCACUGUGCUUUCAGCUGUGGAGAACAACAUUUUUGACAGAACUGGUAUAGUCACCGUAAAGUAAUAGUGUUCUGGGUUGAUUCUGAGAAUGUUGCAGAGAAUGAAAGCUGCUGAUUCCCAUAGAUAUACAGGAAGCUGAGGAUCUUCGUCGAUGAUAACCUUGGAGAGCUCUUGAAUUCCUCCGGUAUCUGCUACCUCUUUUGGCCAUGUAACUGAAGAUCUCUCUAAACCCAUCAAUGCUAUCUCUUGUAAGUUUCUUACUCUGAUCCCUACCAGUUUCACUAGAGGAGCAAUGAGAUUUUUGGUUGUUAUCUCUUCUUGGAAACGUUGCAUUUCGAGUAGAGAGGUCAGUAGUAUUGUGGUUGCAUUUUUGACCGCUAUUGACUCGGACUCAAGCAGUGGUAUCAAAGGCAUAAUGAUUGUGGAAGAUGCAAUUUUCAAUGAUUCAAGAACCAUUGGCUUCUCCAAGAUGUUUGCUAUAGCUUGUAAACCACCGAGUUGACCUUGAAAAUCCAAGUCUUGUCUAAGCAAAAUCAAAAGGAGCGGUUGUACCAUUUUUAUAGCGUCUUGGCUUCGAGCUAUAACACCAACGUUCGUCAAAACUCUGAAAAGAUCUGCGAUUACAGAACACAAAGAACUUGGCGGCGAUUUGGAGAGUUGGCUAAUACAUUUCUCGAUUAUCCCCAUUUUAAUCAGAUCCAUUUUCCGGGGAGUAUUGUCUUUAGCCAUUUUCGUAAGACAAGAAAUUGCAGCCUCACUGAUCAGAUAGUUUUCGGAAGCCACAUAUCCGUAGAACAGGUUCACACAAUCAUGUUCUUCUGCAACCUCUACAAAUCUUUUGAUAUCCAAGAGUCUGUCUAGUGCAAACAUUCCGGCUUCUAUAGCUGUACUUUUUCCUGUUCGGAUAAGUGAUAUAAGGGAUACAAUGCAACAUGCGGCAGAUGUGCUUGUUCUCAAACCUUCAUUGGUAAAUAGAAAGCGGCAUAUCCUUGCAGCACUUGUCUUUGAUUCAAGCGAAGAACUAUCUAAAGACAAAAUUUUGUAGAUGUUGUCCAAUGGGUUUCCUUCAAGACUAGUAAGAAUAUCUGGCCUUGGAUUUAUUCCCAUAGUUAGCUUCACUAAAGCUGUUAGAGCAGCUACUCUCUCACUCUCUAACGUUGUAUUCAACAUUUCAAUAAGAGGAGAAAGUGCUUUCCAUGCUAAUUCAGAAUCUCUGAUGUGCUCAGAGCUAAACAGUUCACAGAGGACCCUUGCAGCAUUGUAGCGAGUACUUCUAGAAGCAAGAUGAAGAAUUCCUAUGAGCUGCUUCAUGGAACUUAUAGCUGUUUUAUGUCGUGUGAUUUCCGGGCUGCGAAAGAGUGAUUCUAACAGUUCAGAAACGGUAAUCUCUGUUGAAUCUUGAGGGCUCAAAGAAAGGUACUUUGCUAAAGCAUCUAGAGCUCCAGCUUCAGCGAUAAGUAAUUUACUUAAAUCGUCAUUGUCUGCAAUACGACGAAGAAGUCGAAUAGCCACUGGAAUGCCUCCAACUUUAUCUGCAUAUGGCUUCAAGAGAUUCACGAGCAAGGGAAUACAUUUUUUGUAAAAUAUCCAUCAAUCAUCUGCUCAGAUUGCAUGAAAGGUGCUAGCGUUUGCAAAAUAUUUUCUGUUGCUGGAGAUGAGACAACCUUUGGUUCCUGAGACAUAACAGCUAAAAAUGACAUAGCGAUCCAUUUUUCCUCGGAAUCAGAGGAAUUCUCCUACAAAAAUUAAAGAUAAUAAGUCAGCAAAACCAACACUUGCAGGAUUUAGAAGAAAAAGCUAAAGAGAGCAAAAACGAGACAAAAUCUCUAUUGCUUUAUCUUGCACCAAAGGAUGACCUUCAGCUAAACCGCGGACAAGAGAGUCUAAAUUUGAAGGAACUUCACCGAAUGCAGAAAAAGGGUUAUGUGACAAGUUAGCACCAUAUUUAGCUUUGGCUAGUAAAGAGAGUACUUCUAAGACGUCGAUGAAAGCGCUGUUGUUCAGUGUUCCCUCUCUCAGUACUCUGGUCAAAGCAGAAACAACGUCAUCGUUUAAUGCUUCAGCUGCAACAUUUGGGUCUGAAAGAAGGUUCGCAAGAGUGGACAUGGGAUUCUCUGUUGACUCGAUGGGGUUUGUUUUUGCUGACUUUAUCAAUGGUUUGAUCACUUCGACUUCUGGACCGGAUAAUUUCUUUGUUGCAGUUUUUUUCUUUGUUGGAUUAGAUAGAGAGCCCAAGGCAUGCGCUAACUGCGUUGCAACAGCGUGAGUGUUUCCGCUUAAAAGCUUUGUGCACGGAUUGUCAUCCUCAUCAAAUCCAAGACCACCACAAAGGUCUUUUCUUGAACUGAAUAGAUCAGCCAAGACAGAAGCUGCGUUCUCUUUCAUCUUCUCGUUUGAUGAGGCAAGUCUCUGGACAAGCGACCUCAAUCCAUUAUUCGCUGCGGAACCCUUGGUGACAAAUUCUUCCAAAGAAGCCGAUGCAAGAACAUGGCCUAGAACUCUAAUCAAAUGAGUCUUUGAUUUAGGAGCAUCUCCAAGAAACAAAGCCUGUACUUGCUCGAUAACACUUGGAUCAGCUGUUUUAAUCAGUUUCAAAAGCGUAUUUGCUGAGCUCUCUUGUGAUUUUGGUCCACCGUUCUUUAAAAGACCCAAAAGUGCAGGAAUAGCUCCUGCUUUCUCAACGCAGAGGCGGAUUUCUUCGCUGUGACAACAUAGGUUCAAAAUUACACGGACCGCAUCGUCCUUUGCUUUCUGAGAUACACCAGUCUCUAAUAUCUGCAAUAAUGGAGGAAUCCCACCUGCAGAAGUAACAGCCCAUCUACUUUCUUCGACAUUAUCGGUCAAGAUCGCUAAGAACUCAACAGACAGUUCUUGAUGUUGUUCGCUAGACAAACCAAGGUACGGUAUGAGGAUUUGUAUCCCUUCUCUCUUCCCAAUAGCAUCCCAAACAUCACCAUGCUUGCAUAAAUUUGACAAACAAGUAAUCAUCCGCUCACGUGGACCGUCCGUGGCCAAUAUUGUUAGACAGACUAAAACCCUCUUAGCGUCAACAUUGUUGAGUAGUUUUGAUAGAUCAACAUUUCCGAAUAGACUUUCCAUAGCCUCCAAGAUACGUUCGUGGAUCAAUUGAGUAUCCCGGGGCUUUAGUAGUUUCACUAGUAUUCCUUCUGUUAGUGUUGGAUCAAAAGCUUCUCUAGUAUCACCGCAACUUAGCUGAAAUUUUCUCAGAGCAUAAGCAAGAGCUCCAAGAAUAUCAGCGAUGGGCUCAGUGAGGCGUGGAGACAAAGAUAGCCCUCCAAGAUACACUAUCAAACCAGACAUUCCUCCGCAUAAGUUUGCUAAAGCUUGUGUCCCAUAACUUUGUAAGACGCGUUCAGUUUCCUCCUCCACUGACUCUUUAGAAGAUGCAACCACUGCGCUAAUAAGAAGGUGGAUCCCAUCUAAAUCUCUUGCCACAGUUAUAGCUUCUUCUGACUUUGAUGUGAUGGCUUCUAGAGCGUUGACUACACUGGCACGUACGAAAACACUAUUUUCUUCACCUAGAAGCUGAACCAGAACUUGCACAGCACCUGACUCUUCAACUUUUGAGAUACUGCUGGUAAAAAUCCUGAUAAGACGAGCUAAGAGAGAAGCUGCGUUUGAUUGAGAUACCGGGUUACUAGACUGGAGAAGCUUUAAGAUGAUAUCUACUCCGCCAUCUUCAAGUGUUAAUGCCCAAAACCCGUCUUUAUCACCGCAAAGAUUUCUCAAAGCUCCAACCAAAUGUCCUUCCACUGUCUUGUCCUGUUUUUUCCCCGUCUUUAAUUGAUCCCACAAACUCGGUACCACGCCUUCCGUGACAAAUAUUUUAGUACCUACAUUAUCACCAUCCAUUCCACACAAGGAAACUUCAUAUAUGGCCUCGGCUACAACUCUUUUUGCAUCCACAGAGUCAGACUUCAAAAGUGAUAGCAGCGGUGGGAUACAUCCGCCUAUCAGUAUCUUAGAACGAACGUUUUUGUCUUUGCAUAGAACGGUUAGGACUGAAGCGGAAUUGAGUUUUGCCAAGAGGGUUCCACUCCUAAGAAGUGAUAUAAAGGCAGGCAUGGCGUUCACAUUCUGGCUAAUGAUCUUUCUACAUUCCUUUUUACCCUUGGCUAAACCAAGAAGCCGAGCGGUGCUAAGCUCUUUCUCUUGCGCCGAUGAUUUCUUGGCAUGAAGCUGUUCGAUGAGACGUGUGAUUGUAACCGCUGCUUUCUCUGGAUCAUCCAUCUCAGACGUCAUUGUUUUAUUAUCGUCCCUGCACCCAAAAGCCCUCAAUUAUACAAAGAUAAAGAUAGCAAAGCAAAUAGUCAAAAAGUAUUGAAAGCAAUUCGAUACCUCAGCCGAGGAGAAGACACGGAAGGAGUCUCUUGGUCAUUCGUUGAGGAGGGAGGCAUUGACAUAUUCUCUUUUCUGAAGAAACUCCUUUAGAAAACAGAAACAAAAACAUUUAGCUAAAUGGAUUCAACAACAAAUCAAACUAAAGAUAGAAUCCUCUUGAUUUUGUAUUAUUGUCAUUUGGUGAUUAAGAGAUUUUUUUCCUGCCACAAUCAAAUGCACAAUUCAUUUACAAAAUUACCUUUUAUGCAAACGUUCUAUUACUCCUUUUUA